UUUCUAAUGCAUUGAUAUUAGAUAAGCCCUGCCCUACGUAAUUAAGUGGCCGCGGUACAAUAACCGUGCUAAGGUAGCAUAAUCAAUUGUUUAUUAAUUGUAAAAUUGAAUGAAUGGGUAAACAAAAUAAAGGCUGUCUCUUAUAUACUAAUAAAAACUAUCCUCUUUAUGAAGAGAUAAAGAUUUAAUUAAAGGACAAGAAGACCCUAUAGAGCUUUUAUAUAAACAUAACUAAUAAACUAAAGUUUGGUUGGGGCGACCUAAGAUAAUUAAAAACAUCUUUAAUAAAAAAAGAGUAACUACUCUAUACAAUGAUCCAAUAAAUGAUCAGUGACUUAAGUUACCUUAGGGAUAACAGGCUAAUAAUUUUUAAGAGUUCUUAUCUAAAAAAUAGAUUGGCACCUCGAUGUUGGCUUAGGAACACUAUUACUCGCAAAAGAGUAUAUAGUUGGUUUGUUCAACCAUUAAUAUCCU
rnacentral:rRNA from 1 species